UCUAAUACCGGAUACUGACCAUCGCAGGCAUCUGUGAGGGUCGAAAGCUCCGGCGGUGCAGGAUGAGCCCGCGGCCUAUCAGCUUGUUGGUGAGGUAAUGGCUCACCAAGGCGACGACGGG
rnacentral:rRNA from 1 species